rnacentral:rRNA from 1 species
AUUGAACGCUGGCGGCAUGCCUUACACAUGCAAGUCGAACGGCAGCGCGGGAGCAAUCCUGGCGGCGAGUGGCGAACGGGUGAGUAAUAUAUCGGAACGUGCCCAGUAGUGGGGGAUAGCCCGGCGAAAGCCGGAUUAAUACCGCAUACGACCUGAGGGUGAAAGGGGGGGAUCGCAAGACCUCUCGCUAUUGGAGCGGCCGAUAUCAGAUUAGGUAGUUGGUGGGGUAAAGGCCUACCAAGCCUGCGAUCUGUAGUUGGUCUGAGAGGACGACCAGCCACACUGGGACUGAGACACGGCCCAGACUCCUACGGGAGGCAGCAGUGGGGAAUUUUGGACAAUGGGCGCAAGCCUGAUCCAGCAAUGCCGCGUGCAGGAAGAAGGCCUUCGGGUUGUAAACUGCUUUUGUCAGGGAAGAAAUCCUCUAGGCUAAUACCUUGGGGGGAUGACGGUACCUGAAGAAUAAGCACCGGCUAACUACGUGCCAGCAGCCGCCGUAA